rnacentral:rRNA from 1 species
CCUACGGGUGGCAGCAGUGAGGAAUAUUGGUCAAUGGACGCAAGUCUGAACCAGCCAUGCCGCGUGCAGGAAGACGGCCCUAUGGGUUGUAAACUGCUUUUGUGCGGGGGUAAACACAGAUGCGCGUAUCUUUCUGCAAGUAUCGUACGAAUAAGGAUCGGCUAACUCCGUGCCAGCAGCCGCGGUAAUACGGAGGGUUCAAGCGUUAUCCGGAUUUAUUGGGUUUAAAGGGUGCGUAGGCGGUCGGGUAAGUUAGAGGUGAAAUCCCGGGGCUCAACUUCGGAAGUGCCGCGGAUACUGUGCGGCUGGAGAGUAGUGGAGGUAGGCGGAAUGCGUGGUGUAGUGGUGAAAUGCUUAGAGAUCAUACAGAACACCGAUUGCGAAGGCAGCCUACCAAGCUACUUCUGACGUUGAGGCACGAAAGCGUGGGGAGCAAACAGGAUUAGAUACCCUUGUAGUC